rnacentral:misc_RNA from 1 species
UACUGAUUUGACAAUGUAUAAUGGUAUGUAUAUGUUUGGAUAUAAAUUUUUUAUGUGAAUAUAUAUAAAUAUUAAAAUGGAAAGGGUGAUAAUGUAAUACUGCACAAACAACAAUCGCUUAGCCAAACAACUCUUUAUAAGAUGUACCAACUUGCCAGUUGCCACUCCUCAAUUGUCAAGAUCACAGUAGACAGGAUUGGCCUCAAGCUGCUCCGCAAACUUCUCAAGAAUUUCCUUCACAAGGUCUCUAAAUACAUCCUCUGAUUCUGCUGCACAUUUUCCACUCUCUACAUCAGCAAAUACUGCAUCAUAAAGAAGAAUCACUGCUUCAUUAGCUUCUGAUGGUGGCAAGCCCAACUCUUU